rnacentral:misc_RNA from 1 species
GAUGAAGAACGCAGCGAAAUGCGAUAAGUAAUGUGAAUUGCAGAAUUCAGUGAAUCAUCGAAUCUUUGAACGCACCUUGCACCCUUUGGCUAUUCCGAAGGGUAUGCCUGUUUGAGUAUCAUGAACACCUCAACUCUCAUGGUUUGCCAUGAUGAGCUUGGACUUUGGGGGUCUUGCUGGCCUGUGGUCAGCUCCUCUCGAAUGGAUUAGCUUGCCAGUGUUUGGUGGCAUCACAGGUGUGAUAACUAUCUACGCUUGUGGUUUUCCACCAGGUAACCUUCAGCAAUGGGGGUUCGCUGGGGCUCAUAAAUGUCUCUCCUCAGUGAGGACAGCUCUUUGAACGUUUGAUCUCAAAUCAGGUAGGACUACCCGCUGAACUUAAGCAUAUCAAUAAGCGGAGGA